rnacentral:rRNA from 1 species
GAUGAACGCUGGCGGCGUGCCUAAUACAUGCAAGUCGAGCGAACAGACGAGGAGCUUGCUCCUCUGACGUUAGCGGCGGACGGGUGAGUAACACGUGGAUAACCUACCUAUAAGACUGGGAUAACUUCGGGAAACCGGAGCUAAUACCGGAUAAUAUAUUGAACCGCAUGGUUCAAUAGUGAAAGACGGUUUUGCUGUCACUUAUAGAUGGAUCCGCGCCGCAUUAGCUAGUUGGUAAGGUAACGGCUUACCAAGGCAACGAUGCGUAGCCGACCUGAGAGGGUGAUCGGCCACACUGGAACUGAGACACGGUCCAGACUCCGACGGGAGGCAGCAGUAGGGAAUCUUCCGCAAUGGGCGAAAGCCUGACGGAGCAACGCCGCGGGAGUGAUGAAGGUCUUCGGAUCGUAAAACUCUGUUAUUAGGGAAGAACAAAUGUGUAAGUAACUAUGCACGUCUUGACGGUACCUAAUCAGAAAGCCACGGCUAACUACGUG